AGCGGAUCCUGUUCACCUGACUUAUCCCAGAAAUUUGCCAGAAAUUUUUCUCUGCAAUCAACUCCCAGAAAAAUACAACUCUCCAGAAAAGAUGUCAAAAAGAAGAACACUGGGAUUUAGAGAAAUGGAUGAGUCACUCUAAGUUAAAGGUCCCUUGCAGUUCUAAUUAGUAGCUUCCUACUUAAAGAUGGUGCUGGAGAAGACUCCUGCGAGUCCCCUGGACUGCAAGGCGUUUGAACCGGUCAGUCCUAGAAGAGAUCAACCCUGACUGCUCUUU